rnacentral:lncRNA from 1 species
GGGUGCAAAUAUAGGUAGAGCGGGCAUCGCAAUUUUUGUAUUAUGUAAAUAUCUUGGGCGAUCUCCAAAAGGGGGUUCUUAAUGAUUCCUUAACCUGAAGAAACGGUUUCUUCAAGAAAUUUUCCACUGGAGACUGCCUCCGUGGCAGAACGCGUUCCUUCAAAAUAAGAUGCACUUCUUAUAUAACAAACCGAUGCUUAACAUUAAAAUAUUAUCAUCCAACAUCAACCCACCAUGCACAAAAAAGAGAAAAAAUAACGGUGAGAACAAGAACAAUCAACACAUUCUAUCUGGAUUCACGACAACAGAAAACCAAAUGAAAUUUCACAAAAAAAUAUAUAUAUAUUUUUAACCAAACAAAAUGGAAUCACUCGCAGAUCAUGAAUACAAACCAAGCAAUCCCAUCUCAGAAAAUGUAAAUCCUGCAAUUUCUAAUUUAUAUACCCUGACAAAAAGUACGACAACUCUUGUUAUAUGAAAUGACAAAACAAGCAAACUGAGAAAUAUGGAAAGGUAAGAAAAUAUAGUACUGGAUUUUUAUAAAUGCAAGCACGCAUUACGAGCAUGCCACUGGCUGGAGGUGGCAGAGCUAGGUGGUUUUGGCAGCAGCAAAUAGAUGCGUGUUGGAGAACUUAGAGCGAAGAUGGCGGAUGUUCGGCUGGAGCGAGGACAGAAGGGUAAAGGGAGAAAAUAAAAUUUUAUAGUGGGAGUAUA